UGGAAAUUUGUAUCACAUUCGUUUAUUUAAACAGCUUCGACGAGAUGGCCGGAGACGUGAAAAAAGCUCCGAUUAAGCGUGUUAUAUGCUGUGUGUGUGCUUGACCUCGUAGCAGGCGAUGAUCGACGACGACGCUCGCUAAUAAGCAGGUGGACCAAAGGCCACUGGCACAGACACCACUCAGUGUUUGCACAGCAGACUGAUAGCGGAAGCAGGAAGGAACUGCUACUGGGAGCUGGGAGUGAAGAUAUAUGAGCCAUUUGUCGAAUCUACUAAUUUUGACUCGGAAAUUCUGGCAGCACUGGUGGAAGUCUUGCCAGACAACCGUACAUCAGCUGUUCGAGAGCCAUAUGUUCUGUGUGUGUGCACAGUGGAAUAUUGGAAACUAUAUUUGGGUAAAACCUGCAUUUCAGAGGUCUACAAUGUUCUAUGAAACAAUAUCUAAAGAACAUAGUAGUUGACUUAAAGAAUAAAUUGUUUUAAUUGCAGUAAUCGUAUCUAGGCUCCAUUAAAAUAAAUUUGUUAGAGUAUUGGCUCUA